UACGUAGGGGGGCUAGCGUUGUUCGGAAUUACUGGGCGUAAAGCGCACGUAGGCGGGUUGUUAAGUCAGGGGUGAAAUCCUGGAGCUCAACUCCAGAACUGCCUUUGAUACUGGCAACCUAGAGACUGGAAGAGGUUAGUGGAAUUCCCAGUGUAGAGGUGAAAUUCGUAGAUAUUGGGAAGAACACCAGUGGCGAAGGCGGCUAACUGGUCCAGCACUGACGCUGAGGUGCGAAAGCGUGGGGAGCAAACAGG
rnacentral:rRNA from 1 species